GUGCAUUCUGCGGGUCCCUGUCCUGGCUGGCUCCCGGCUUGUCCUGAGGGCGUGCGCGCGUGGGGUCCCAGGCAGGCGUGCCCUCCAGUGUGAGUGCGAGUGAGUGUGGCCCCACCCAGCUCUCUCUGCUCUGUGCUGCCCGCGCAGCCCGCACACUCAUCCUGCGUGGUUGCUGCUGGGUGACACCAGCAGCUCACCCUGCUUGGUUACAGCGGGUGGUUGCUGGGCCGGCCCCCUGCCUGCCAGCCUCUGGCGCACACUGGCGCUGGCGGUCGCAGAGGCCCCGCCGUGCCCCGCGUGGCCUGCUGAGCCGCCCCUGGGCCGGGGUCCCUCCGGGCCAUGCCGUGCCCAGGCGGUGCAGCGCUGCCUGUAUGACCUCCCUCCGCGGCGCGGGGAAAAGGCGACCAUCUGCCUCCAGGAGCAUGUGGCCAUCGACAUGUACCCCGGACCCAAAUCUCUGGCUACUUCCCGCGGGACCUGCCCCAUGACGCCCCCGCGUGCCUGGCCACCUCCGAAGUCGCCCGCGACGACGGCGAGGAUGGGGACCAUCUCUUCGGAGCCUAAGAAUCCAGCACUGCGCAGCAGCCCUCCAAGCCGCCAGAGGACGAGCUGGACGCCGAAGGCUACGAGUGGACGACUGCAAAACAAGAGCCUGCUGAGGCGAGCGAGAGCUGACGAGAGCCCAUCUGUGUGUCCCUGGCUGUACACGCUUGGCUGGGUUUUCUAAAGGAAGCGAAGGCAGAGACCUGAAGCCCGUGGACCACAAUGGGCUGUCAGACCCCUGUGUCAAGCUGCACCUGCGGCCAGGAGCCAGGAGGAAGGUGAGGGAGUUUUACCCUGGCUUGCCCACCAGCUGUGACCACUCAUGGCGAUGGGGCCUGGACUGGGCUGGGGGCACCCAGGGAGGCCCACAGAUGCCACUCCUCCUCAGAGCCCAAGCAAGCCGAUGAGACCUCAGCCAUUUACCUCCAUGCAGAGCAGCCGGUCUGUCCCACACCUGGGAUGCCUUCCAGCAUAACCUACCUGCUGAUCUGGAGAAAGCCCUGGAGAAUUUCCAGGCUGGUUUUUUAUAAGAAGCAUUCUCAGCUGGAGGUUGCUAUGAUGUGCCAACAAAGAACUGUGGUCAGAUCACAUUGGAAAACAUUAUUAAACCAGUUUCUUUACUGCAGGACUUAACCAGAGCCUUUAAUGUGCUGAUGGGCUGUUCCUUGACUCUCAGUAAAGGGGAUGAAGUAGGCAGCAUCUGCCCAAUGUAUUUGACCACAGAAUCCUCAUUCCCACGAGAGAUGGGCCAAAAGACCAACCACAAAUGCAGUUAAGGCACCAGCACAACACAUGCAUCUAGGAGAGGAGAGAAAAAAAAUGCUAUUAAAUAAAAGCAUCAAGGUGAUCUUGAGCCAUGAAAAAUCAGAACUUCUUAGACUUACUUCCUUCUGUGCAUCCUACACUUCAGUGUUGUUUUAUUUUUAAUUUCAUAGGGCAGAAUCUGAGUUGACUUGGGGACCUAAAUGUGCAUGCCUGGGGCCCACCGCAGUCCAGGAGGACCACCCCAGAGGGGAACAUUGCGUCUUCUCUGGGGAAGGCAGGGCUGUAGGAAACACGGCAGUGCCCCACCACCUACUCCUGGGGAAGAAAUGGCUCCUCACACCAGGCCUCGAUGUCCUUACGCUGCAAGUGGAGCUCAGGGAUGUGAGAGCCAAGAGCGAGUGUAACCAGAGAAGUGUGCCCAACGGGGGGGCUCAGUGACCCCUAACUCGUGGGACUGGAGCUGGCAGGGCCUGUUGUAGGAAGUCCCCGGGACUCUCCCCAGUGUUUUAUAAAGAGCAGUCUCCUUACAGGCAAGCUCCUGAAAGCUGUGCGAGAGAGGGAUUCCUGUGUCCUUUCCACGGUGGGGAACCUGACGCUGCCACAGAGCUGGAAUUGGAACCCGGUUGCCUGACCUCCAAGCCUGGGCCGGGGUGGCGGGCAUCAGACUGAGUCAGACACGGAGCUCAGAGUCACUGGCACAGGAGAAGGAGUUGUGGCAAUGUUCCAGCUCAGAGAGGUCACUGCACGAGCAUGCCCAAGGACAGGAUGGGUUCCAGGCAAAGGGGACAGUCCGCAGAGACAGGGCAUGCCCUCGGAAGGAGACUUCAUUUCCACACCAGGCGUCCUGCAGAACCCACCCAAGGGCAUCGGGGCUGGAGCUGGGAUCCUCCUUGGAUGAAUCUCCUAUGGCUGCUGCAGCAAAUGAGCUUAGAGGCUUAGAGCAGCACACUUACUAUCUCACAGCUCUGCAGGUUAGAAGUCCAACAGCGGUCUCCCUGGGCUCAUGUCAAGGUGUUGGCAGGGCUGCAUUCCUUCUGGAGCCUGGGGAUUCCACCCAUUUCCUGGCUCUUUCCAGCUUCUAGAGGUCGCCUGCCCUCCUUGGCUGGUGGCCCCUUCCUCCAUCUUCACAGCCGUCCCGGUUGCAUCUCCCUGACCUUCUUCCUUGGUGACAUCUCGCUCUCUCUUCUCUGUUCUUUCUUCUGCUUUUAAGAAGCAUGUGACCACAUUGGGCCACUCAGACAGUCUAGGAUAAUCUCCCUAUUUUAAAGUCAGCUAAUUAACAACCCUAACUCCAUCUGCAGGCUCAGUUCCCCUUGGCAUAUCAAUAACAUAUCCACAGCUUUGGAGAUGAGGACAUGGCCAUCUCUGGGGCAUUGUUCUGUCUACCACACCCUUUGAUGCUAAUAAGAUCAUUUUUUCCUUUCUCCAGGCAAAUAAGCUCAGAACAAAACUCUCCGUAACACUGUGAACCCCGCGUGGAACAAAACCCUCAUUUCCUAUAGGAUCACAGGUGAAGACAUGACCCACAAGACCCUGCAGUGGGUGAGGGCCCUCGGCUGCCUGCUCCCUCCCCA
ensembl:lncRNA